ensembl:lncRNA
CUGAUGUGUUUUGCAAUGCAUGAUUAUUCCAUAAAGUCAGUUUUAAAAGAUUUGAUUAAAAAUCCUGACAUUUUUUAAACGGACAAAAUAUAUUUAUGAUUUCUUUCUCCCAUAUGUCUAUGUUUUCAUGUAAUAGUUUUUGCUUUGGAUUCAAGAUGAAAUCAUGGCUCGUUCCCACCCAGUGUGAUGUAAUCAGAUUAACAGUAAUGGAGAAUACCAUGCUGAAAAAACAGGCAGAUGUGAGGAUAAACUGCUUAAUUCCAUGAGUUUUGCAUACUUGAGCACGAGAGAGGGGUGAGGAGGAGGAGGAGAAGGAGAAAGGAUUUGGAUAGUAUUACAUGUGUGGGCCAGAACUGGUUCUUCAAAUCACAGAGUUGGUACUCGAACCUAUGGAAGGAGACUGAUAGCAUGGAUUCUGCUAUGUGUGUAAUUACUCACAGAGAUCAUAGAAGACUGCUGUCUUCAGGUGCUCGACCCGAACCUCCUCAAAGCUACAGGCACAGAUAUUUUCUCUUUUCUUAAUUUCUUCCAACAAGUUUAAAGUUAAACUACUUUGACGGAGAAUAUUAUAAUCCUAAGCAAGGACAUACAGAUAGGUGUGCCAUCACAGACUAUACAGUCCUCUGGCCACCAGCCCCUAGACAGCUAAAAGAGAUUUCCUUCUGUGUGCUAGGAUAAAAAAGUCUGCCUAGAGAUCAAUUACAGAGUUUGUUCCAGUUGUCCAACUAUAUGUUUUAAAGGAUGAGGACUGCCGCCACUGCGUUUCUGUGGAGCACUUCUUUCUGGUUGCAGUCAUGUGGGAUCUGCUGCAGGUUUUCCAGGAGCCGGGUAGAAAACUUCCAUUUCUUGUUCUCCGUAUGGUUGCCAUCUAGCACAUAACAUCACCUAAAAAUCCAAAGUCCUGCCUCUCCCUUCAAGAGACUGAACAAUUACCUCCCCCCCAGAAAAGUGGAAAAGUCAAAAAUUUUCAUAAAUUGAAGGAGCAAUGAGCAAUCUUCAGGUUUCAUAAUUUGUUGCAAAUACUUAAUUGCAGGUUUGCUUUGUAUGGUUUUGGGUGGAAAGCCUGCAAUUGCUGUUAAUGCUUUGUAACUUACAUUGUGACAUGUGGUAAUGCUAAGGGAGAAUAAAGACCAGGAAACACAUGCAGCUGACAGGCAGGGCCAGUCAUUUUCUGCCUGCCAAAUAGGUUGCGUUCAUAUGUGCUUCUGGCAGUGAGCUGUAUGACACCUCAAGUUCCCUCCUUUGUCUUUCCAAGAGUAACAGAGAUUUUCUUUCUUCCAAAGGAAAAACGAAAUCAUGGCAAAAUGUAAUAAGAACCAUAAUCCUGAUAUAUUCAAAGGAGUUUAAGGUGGGAGUUGUGGGAAUUCUAGCUUAGAACUAUUUUGCUGCAGAAUAUUACUAUGUCCCUUAAUUU